rnacentral:lncRNA from 1 species
GCAAACAUGAAAAGGGCCAGGAUGCUCUCCUGCGUGCUACAGCCCAGGGGAGAGGGGGCUGAUAGUUUAAAAACCACCCCUGAGAUGUGGAGCCUGCCAGGCAAGAAGGCACAAAGAGAACGGAACGCUGCAGCAGUGCAGUGUGAAGAGGCAGUGUGGACCUUGAGACCAGCUGUGGGUCACCAGGGAGCCAAGGGAAGGGCCCGGCCAGCAGAUGGAAGCCUCAGAGCCAAGGGCCAGUCCUCAGAUGGGCCCAUGUUAGGACGUGGAGGGGCUUGUCGGGUUCCCAGGGAAACCAGUGGAUCUGCUUUGCGUGGUACAAACGUGCUCAAAUAUUUGCUGAUGUGACUCAGGCCCUUGCCUGCCUACCCAGGAACCUGGCCAUGAACUAGAGUGGCCAGAUAGGUCUUUCAGGCCCAGAGUGCUGGCCUGCCCACAUGGGUUCCUGUGAGCAUCGCCUGCAGCCAGCCGCCUCUGGCUGCACCGGCCAGGGCCACGCCAAGGCACUGUUUUCCCGGACUCACUGCCAAAGCCCCAUUUUCCAGGAUGCCUGAGCUGCCUGGGGUUCUGUGUGGAGUGAGGGGAACUGCCUUUUCCCCAAGCAUUAUAACAAAAUAAGUUACUUGUAAACUUGGAAGCAUCACUCUGGACUCCGGAACCUCACAAAGUUUAUCCUCAAACAUUGUUCCUCCAGCUUCUUGCCCGGCUCUGGAGCUGCUGGUAGAAACUGCUCCAACCAAAAAUAAACCCAAGUUUAAGGUGCAGUCUGGCCAGAGGUUAAGACAGGGCCCUGGAGAUAAAUCUUGUAGCCAAUCAUUACCAUUUAGGAACUCUGACCUUGGGGAAUUUUCUUGAAUUCCCUAAACCUGAUUUUUCUUUUCUGUUACCAAAGGUUAAAAAGGGUACCCAGCCCUGUCCACUGGCUUGUGAAGAUUAAACAAAAAUAAGCUGAACUACUAAUUAUAUUUUUAAAAAACACGCACAGAAACGUUGCCAUGGGUUGGCAGACUCAUGCCUUUCACAUGAUAACCGUUAGUAUCUUAUACUCUUGGGAUUUUCCUCCUAAAUUAAGUACAUGUUUAUUGUAUAAAAUUUGGAAAUUCAGAAAAGCAUGAAGACAGUUGUUUUUAAUUGUACCACCUAGAGAAAAGAUACUGUUUUUAAGUUCUGAUCUUUUUUUCCUAUAAGUAAAAUUUUCCCAUUUUACAAGUGAGUACAUUGAGGCUUAGAAAGCUGAAGUAUUUUGUCCCAGGUCCCAGUCAGAAGAGAACUGAAUCCAGCCUGGUUCCAAGGUCUUAGGAACAAGCUGUGUCUUCUAGAUAGAUCCUCGUAUUCACCCUUGGCGUCCUGUGGGUGAAAUGUUAGAAUACAUCAUCAAUUUAAAAAUUAGGGAGGGUGUAAUUUUAUUCAUUAAAAUAUGUACGUAUUUAGCUGGGCACAGUGGCUCACGCCUAUAAUCCCAGCACUCUGGGAGGCCAAGGUGGGCGGAUCACCUGAGGUCAGGAGUUCGACACCAACCUGGCUGACAUGGUGAAACACCAUCUCAACUAAAAAUACAAAAAUUAGCCAGGCUUGGUGGUGAGUACCUGUAAUCCCAGCUGCUUGGGAGACUGAGGCAGGAGAAUUGCUUGAACCCGGGAGGCAGAGGUUGCAGUGAGCGGAGAUUGCGCCAGUGCACUCCAGCCUGGGUGACAGAGUAAGACUCCGUCUCAAAAAAAAAAAAAAA